AUUUUCUGCCCCAAAUUGCAAUCACACCCUGGAUUUUCCCAUAGGAGAAUAUUUUUUUCAUGUAGGAACAGAACUAAACUGAUCAAUGCUUUCUAAAGCAGUGAAAACCUCACCCCAGCUUACGGUGAAGGACCGUUCCCACAGGCUGCCAUGAACAGGCUUUGCUGGUCUGUCAGCUCUAGGAUUGCAGAAGAAGCCCUCAGACCUGCUGAAGAGUGCAUGUGGAGUGAAGUCGUCUGAUGUUGGGGUAGCUGAUGACAAAUGAAUGUCUUCAUCUCUGCAGACAUUUUCAAGCCUGGCUGUGGGGCUAGCAGGGAAGCAAGAACUUGAACAAUCGGCUCACAGCAGCCCCACCAGAACAAAAGACUGUUGUUAGUUCGUCUUUUUGCCUGAAAGAAAAGAGUAACAUAUUUAUCUCAGAAAUAGCCUGAAUCAAUAUGCUUCAGCUGAGUAUCCCAGAGACAAAAUUUUCUAAAGUUGUCAUCUACUGGUUAUAAAGAAAAUUGACGUGGGCAUCCGCUUAUAUUCAAGCAGUAUCUGGAACAGAAGGCGACUUUCUCAAACAUUAUUGAUCCUCAAGGAGCUUUGCACAGAGUGAUAUGCCAAAGGCUGACUUCCAUGCAAGAAACUAGUAAGUAUUCACAGAACAGAUCACUAGACACGUCAAGAGUCAUAAUAAAAAUUUGAAGAAUGCCAUAAGAUGCUGCCUUGAAAAGAACAUCCAUGCUUGAAAGGAUAGACUGGAAACACUGCUGAUAUUUGGUGACACCAUAAGCAGGACGCAGAGGCAUGAGAACUUUCUCAGUGCUUGAUGGUGCCUCCUGCCAGGCAGGACUAGAUGUGACUGGCAGCCACACUGGCAGAAGAACAGAGCAAAGUGACUUUCUGUCCUCCUUCACAUCAGCACAAGUAUUUUUGCAAAAUUGCUAAAAGGACAGCCACCUGUAUUUAUGGCCCACCCCAAUGACCAUCCAUUCAUGGAUUUUUAAGUUGGUAGGCAGCCAAUACCCAUCCUUCUUAUUUCUGGACUGGAAACCUAUCUAAAUCAGCUAGCUGUGAAUCAAAUCUCUGAUCUCAACCUCUAAAUGUACUUGUCUCACCAGAACAAAUCCAGCUGCUGAUUCUUUCUCUGCACAAAUCCAGUCUAUUGCAUAGAUGCCUUGAAAGAUGCAAGACUUUUACUAUGGGAGAUGUAACAGUUUCAUUUCUUAAAGUGUGAUUGAAACAUCAAAAGGCACAAAGCCUCAGGAACAGGCUUUAACAGCUGCAUGGAUAUCAAGGAAGGCAUCUGUGAAAAGAUGUAAAACUUGCAAUAUUUGCUUGCAAUGUGAACUGGUGAUAGACUCUUUCAAGAAAAGAAGUGACAUUAUCUGUCUUCGAACUCAGCGUCUUCGGCCUUUUCAAAUCUGCACCACUUAGAGUAAACCUGAACUGAAAUGAAAGUGCUUUUUGCAGAGACUUUGGAGGAUAGUUUGUCAUAUGCUGAUUUGCAAGAUAUUCUAAAUAUUUCAAGAUCAUUCUUAACUAACACAAUUCUCAAUAAAAG
rnacentral:lncRNA from 1 species